rnacentral:rRNA from 1 species
UACGGAGGGGGCUAGCGUUGUUCGGAAUUACUGGGCGUAAAGCGCACGUAGGCGGCUUUGUAAGUUAGAGGUGAAAGCCCGGGGCUCAACUCCGGAAUUGCCUUUAAGACUGCAUCGCUAGAACGUCGGAGAGGUAAGUGGAAUUCCGAGUGUAGAGGUGAAAUUCGUAGAUAUUCGGAAGAACACCGGUGGCGAAGGCGGUCUGCUGGGCAGUUGCUGACACUGAGGCGCGACAGCGUGGGGAGCAAACAGGG